UACUGUCUGCUCUGCUGAUUCAGAUUCACAUUCACUGAGUGAUUUAAAAGACGUGUGCUGAAGGCUGAUUGUGAUUGCUACAAAAUAUUUAGUUAUUUACUUAGCAACACCGUUUAUUUUCAAAAUUGUUUCAAAAUGAAUCGUGGUGGAUCCAGAAAGCCACGGCGAGUUCCGAGAGACAAGCGGUACCCAGAUAAAGCGUUUUCAGAGCUUGUUCUCAGUCAAAACCAACAACCAAGGUUAUCACAUCAAUUCCUAACCAAAGAACCUGACAUCCACUUUAUGGAUGAAGAACCUGUUGAGGGUGUCAGUCUCGUUAGAGAUUUUCAACUUGUCCGACAAAUGCAGGUCCUGCUAGGAAAUUAUGUUGGAGCUCGUAUAUUUGAGCACACAUUCUUCCCAGCCUUGUGGGCCAUUCCAUUAUCCAUGGAAAACAUCCAUCAGGUCCUGUCGAAGACUCAUUUUAUGAUGCCUAAACCAUGUGGACCCCGUUUUCUACUUUACAUCGACUCUUCCGGCCAAACUUACUUGGAGAACAUGACUCAACACUUCUUCCUCGUGGACACUGAUCGCGCCGUUCAAUUCAUCUCCACUGAUGGUCGAGCAACAACCGACACCGUCCUCGAUGGCAUUUUUACCAAGGAUGAGAAGGGCGGAAUACUGACGUUUUUCGUCUGCGAUGCCGUUCGAUGCAAUGGUGUAAACCUCACGAAAAUGAACGCCUUUCAACGCAUCGCAUUUGUCAAGGAAAAUUUGAUGAAGCCGCGAUUGAAUGCGGUGGAGCACCAAACGAUAUCCAUUAAGAACGAGGUUUUCAAUUUGGAUAUAGUGGACUGCCUGGACUGUAAUUCAGCUGAUUUUCUGGAUACCGAAUUCGAAAAAGAGUUCAAAUAUCCACUUCGUUCUUUAGUCUUCUUCCCACGAAACCAGGAAUACGUCGGUGGGACGUGUACAAAUGUUUUAAAGUGGACAGAAGAUGAGAAUUAUGAGUGUGUCUUUCGUAUCGUUAUUCAGAAAGGGUCAAAUGGGACUGACACUGCCGGAUUGCAGGCGGUUGGUGGUCCGGGUAAUCGUGAAAUUUAUUUUGCCUCUAUCGACAUGACGGAUGUAAUCCAACAACUUGAUCUUCGCAUCGUUGAGUGUCGUUUCGUUAACGGACAAUGGAUUUUGGUCAGAAUCAGGAACGAUCGCCCGCAUCCCCACAGCAGACGUGCCAUUAUAAGCGAGGAGUCACGGACCUCCUCUUCAACUGCAACACUUUGGAACUGUACGUUCCUUAAGAAACACUGGAAACGCUCUGUUGAUGAAAAGCGGACAACAACAUCAAAGUGAGAAUGAUAUUCCUGUGAGCUUUUGAUGUUUGCAUCUUGUCGGAGGAGGAGAAUUUUCGGACUGACUGCAUCAGUCGUUUUCGAAUCGAUUUUGAAUUUCUCUUUGUGCUGGGUCUUCGUUACGACUUUUGAUGUGGUGAAUCGCGCGUAUUUCUAUCCGGACGUGUCCAUCUCACCUUAUAUACUGUAGUUGUUGCAGUUGCUGAUCGAAUGAUAGGAGGAAGUCGGCCGCUCUUUUCUUUAAUUUCGUCAAAUUGAGCAAAUUGGCGUGAAGGAGAAGUUUGAUUUAUGUAUUAUUCAACGCCCAUUAUUUAUUGUUGUUUUUUUCCUUUUUCAUGGCGACUCAACAGACACAAAACACACUACUGGCUCGAUUUACCCUUUGUUGAAUUAUUAAGACACGAGCAAAUGGAGUGUGUUGUUGUUGUCUUUGUUUCACCUCGGACAAAAUUCUUUGACUGUUUUGAUCAGGUACUUUGAAUCAAGCUAUACCUUUUGUAAUUUUUUAAACUGCAAUUUUAAAAUUUAAAAAACGACUCAAAUAUAUCCGGGUCGGGCGACCUAACUACUUACGUAGUAUUUUUUUUUAAGGCUAAAGCGCGAACUAAAAUUUUAACAUUAAAUACAGUGAAGUGGCAAAAAUAUCGAAUUCUAGGGACAAC